rnacentral:rRNA from 1 species
GAUGAACGCUAGCGGCAGGCCUAAUACAUGCAAGUCGAACGGUAGAUCGGGUAGCAAUACUUGAUUGAGAGUGACGUAAGGGUGCGUAACACGUAUGCAAUCUACCCUCAACAGGAGUAUAGCUCGGGGAAACUCGGAUUAACACUCCAUAACAUUACGAUGUGGCAUCACAUUGUGAUUAAAACUCCGGUGGUUGAGGAUGAGCAUGCGUCUGAUUAGUUAGUUGGAGGUGUAACGGACCCCCAAGACGAUGAUCAGUAGGGGAACUGAGAGGUUGAUCCCCCACACUGGCACUGAGAUACGGGCCAGACUCCUACGGGAGGCAGCAGUAGGGAAUAUUGGUCAAUGGGUGAGAGCCUGAACCAGCCAUGCCGCGUGCAGGAAGACGGCCUUCUGGGUUGUAAACUGCUUUUAUCUGGGGAUAAAAAGCCCAUGCGUGGGACAUUGAAGGUACCAGAUGAAUAAGCACCGGCUAACAACGUGCCAG